rnacentral:pre_miRNA from 1 species
AGGAGGAACAGCCCCAGUGGCGGGGCAGCUCUGGAAACCUGGAUUCCGCUCCGGCAGGAACUCCGUCUGCAGGGCCUGGAGGCUCCGGGGCGGG